UGGUAGUNCACGCCGUAAACGAUGAGUGCUAGGUGUUAGGCCCUUUCCGGGGCUUAGUGCCGCAGCUAACGCAUUAAGCACUCCGCCUGGGGAGUACGACCGCAAGGUUGAAACUCAAAGGAAUUGACGGGGGCCCGCACAAGCGGUGGAGCAUGUGGUUUAAUUCGAAGCAACGCGAAGAACCUUACCAGGUCUUGACAUCCCGAUGCCCGCUCUAGAGAUAGAGUUUUACUUCGGUACAUCGGUGACAGGUGGUGCAUGGUUGUCGUCAGCUCGUGUCGUGAGAUGUUGGGUUAAGUCCCGCAACGAGCGCAACCCUUAUUGUUAGUUGCCAUCAUUCAGUUGGGCACUCUAGCGAGACUGCCGGUAAUAAACCGGAGGAAGGUGGGGAUGACGUCAAAUCAUCAUGCCCCUUAUGACCUGGGCUACACACGUGCUACAAUGGCUGGUACAACGAGUCGCAAGUCGGUGACGGCAAGCUAAUCUCUUAAAGCCAGUCUCAGUUCGGAUUGUAGGCUGCAACUCGCCUACAUGAAGUCGGAAUC
rnacentral:rRNA from 1 species